rnacentral:rRNA from 1 species
UACAGAGGUGGCAAGCGUUGUUCGGAAUUACUGGGCGUAAAGGGCGCGUAGGCGGUCGGGCAAGUCCUGUGUGAAAUCCCUCGGCUCAACUGAGGAACUGCACGGGAAACUGCUCGACUUGAGUUCGGGAGAGGGAAGCGGAAUUCCGGGUGUAGCGGUGAAAUGCGUAGAUAUCCGGAGGAAUACCGGUGGCGAAGGCGGCUUCCUGGACCGACACUGACGCUGAGGCGCGAAAGCUAGGGGAGCAAACGGG